ensembl:lncRNA
GUUUCUCCUUUCUAGGCUACGUCAUUUCAACUAUUAAAAUAGAAAAAAUUAUAAUGUUCAAGACAAUUUGUACCAAAUUAAGGUACGUUAGGUUACAAACAACAGUAAAUGACUCUGGAUAAUUGGAGAAAGCAAGCAUUUAUUUAAGGGUUAGGAGGGAAGCUCAGCGAAUUAAAGUAAUAGUCAAAACAGCCAGUUCUUUCCAAAAAGAGGAAUUGAAGCAAGUCCGGUGGUAGAGGCUCCUAGACGUAAAUGUGAGUUGCAGACAAUGGAAAACUCACUACUAACCCCCACAAGCUCUAUGUCUUCUGUUUUAAUUUUCCAAGCGAUCAGUACAGAUUGGUCCAACACUCAUCGAUGUUUACCCCUAGGGUCAGUCAUGGAAGUCAAGCAGUGAAGCAAUGACUUUGCUUGGCUAGUCUGACUUACUUGCCCACAUAUUUGGCCAGAAGGUAGAGUCUCUUAUCAAAAGAAGAAGGAAAAAGUGCAAGGCAGAUGAAAGCAAAAGCAACUGUAAUUCGCCUCUUGGUGUCUAUGAACUUGUGCACACUCAGGUGCACAUACACUUCUUAUGCAUACAUAUCUAUGAGGAAGGAUGGAACACAGAACAGUUUCAAGAUAAUCAAAUAUGUAUAUAAACAGGUGUCCCAAAUGCCAUAGUGCAGUUUUAAGCUUUAAUAAUUUCAGAAGGGUAAAAGCUACAAAUUAUAGAGAUCCUCAUUUGAGACUUGAAUUGUUUUAAUUUCCCUUCUGUAGAGCUUUGAGAAUUGUUAUAAGACUUUUUCAAUUUUCAUUGAUUGUUUCUGUCCCUCUGAUUGAAGAUGUCAGAGUGACAAACAAAAAUUGAAAUUUAUCUUUGAAAAUACAGCGCAAAUGACACGCAGAUUAUAUUUUUCAGAAGUUAAUAGCUUUUACACAUCCAAAGUGAUUAAGCUUGAAAGGCCAUGGAAAGGAAGUAGUCUCAUGAAUUUGUCAUCAACCAAGUAUUCCACCUCCAAAUAGAUAUCCUUCUCAAGGAAAUUCUUCGGCACAGUUAUGGAACGUGGGAGGCAGCUCUCGGACCCACCAUUUCUCAGAACCCUGAAUCCCAAGUAUUCUUGAGGUGCUCUCUUACGUCUGGGGCUCUCACCUCUUGUGCAGUCUGGCCCACAGCAGUUUCCUCUUGAAAUGAGUCUCCUUUCCUCAGUUGUGGUGCUGGAGAUGAUAAACUGGUGUUCACUGUUCUUUAGUUUAUGUGAGGAAAUCGUGCUCUUCUGCGUGGUAUGAUCAGCCUUCUUCUCCCUCCUUCUCAGGACAGCAGUAGAUAGUGUUAAAAGUGAGUCUCUGCUCCUACUAGGGGUGUGGUGGUAGUGGUGGGGGUGGAGAUAUGCAUAAACAAAGGCAGGUACUAUGCCUGGAUGGCAAAGGUGAAGCCCUCUCAGUAGAGUCUGGCCUGCUUUACUUCCUCCCUUUUCGGGGCUGGGGAAAAAAAAAAAAAUCUGUUUACUUGCACAACGUGGUUUUCGUGCUAAAAUAUUUUUCUUACUGGAAUGUAGAUGUUGUCUUCUUGAUCUUCUUCUUCUUCUUUUUCUUGUUCUUCUUGCUCUGUAGGAAAGCCAUGGCAAGAUGGAAAGCAUGGCAGCUAAAGCCCUGCUCAAUCCCGUGCUCCACAUGCUUCUGAAGGACCUCUAAGCUGGGGAAGAUCUGGCAGCAGCCCAUGCACUUGAAGUCAUUGUCCACGGCCACCGGGGGUUCAGGCACGUUGGCACUAGAACAUUCCCCCGGAGCUGUAGGCUCUGCUGAAGUGCCAGCAUCCUCCUCUUUCUCUUGAGCUUCGCCAGCAAAAUUGGUCUCACUCUCAGUUGGGAGUUCCUUCGUAACCAAAGCAGAGAGGCUGACUGGUGUGUGGAUCUCUUCAGGAAAGCUCAUCUCUUCUUUCUCUUCUUCUUUCUUGGGGGGUCCAACCUUUCCUCUGUAUCUAAGACAGCUGUACUCCUUUUUCUUGGGACAGCAAUGUAGCAAAUUUUUGUGAUCGUUUCCUCUGUUACACGCACUGGGGGCUUAUUAUUAUUAUCCAAAGGAGGUGGAAAGGGAGAUUCCCAUUGCUCCCUGUUCUGGGAUAGAGAUACCAAAGGGUAUCCAAGAGAAGAAACACUUUUCUGUACUUGACUGACUCCUAGGAAAGAAAAUUUCAAACAUAAGAAUACCAGAAUAAGUGUGUGAAAUCUGUAGGAAUUAAGGUGGCCAUGAGAAUAUUCCUAUGUGAGAGCAUGUGGAGUGGAUGUACAUAUAUAUAUGUGAUACUUCAGAAUUUUGUGUGUGCUGUGUUUCAUUUGAGGUGUGUAAAUGGUAUAACUAUGUGGGAAUGAGGGUGUGGUAUGUCUCGUGGAGUUGUAUGUAUGUUCUCGGACAUAUCUGGUGAGUGUUUUAGAUGUUCAUAAAAGGAGCUGGUGAAUGUGUGUGUGUGUGUGUGAUGUGUGGCGUGACAGUACAUGUGAACAAGUGCAGGAGUGGUAGCUGCUCUUACGGUGAGACAGUAAGACCUCGGGUGUUAGAGGAAGUGUAUGUGAGCACUAAGAAUGUGCAGCUCUAGGAUGGGCCAAAGGCUUUCUGGGUGAAGUGCCACAUGGAUUAGAAAGAUUGCAUACGAAAGUGCAUUCCCUUCAAGGCAUAUGAGUUUUCUAGAGUUUGACCUAGCGUGAGGGAGUUAAAAGACGUUAUCGGUUUGAAGAGAUGUGAAUUAUUUAUGGGAUUAGUGUGGAAAUGCGUAAGGCUGAGGAUGAUUGUGUGAAGGAAUGAAGGUGUAAGUGUGUACCUACGUAACACUACUAGAGAACAGAAAAGAUAGGUAGGAAAGGAAGGCAUGUGUAUUUGAGAGAAAAAAAUGAAAGGAAGAAGAAAUGGAACCGUACCUGCUAUGAAGGAGUAUAGAUGUGUAAGUGUGCGUUAGGCUAUGAGUUCGUGCUGAUCUGAGGGGGAAGGUUCUGAUUAAAUUCCCAUAUGCAUAUCAGCACUGCCCACUCUCUCUCCCACAGCUGUCCCAUAUAACAGAAGUUUGUACUGAAGACAUUUGUCC